AGGACAUUAAUGAUUUGAGGACUGACAGGGGAAAUAAGCAGUUCUCCUGUUCUCCUUGCCUGAACAGAUGAGGGCACCAGUGUAGCAUUAUGUGGAGUUUACACUUACAGAGAUUAUGACAAUGGCACUGAAUCCCACAAAUGUCAUCAAUACUGCUGGUUGGCAAAAAUCAGUGUGACUAGCAACAAUGGAAAAAAUUCAAAUUGCAUGGGGUCAUUAGUCACCUCAAGCUUUAUCCUGACAGCGGAUCACUGCUUCAGGUUUGAGAACACACCUGAUAGAAUAACUGUUGAUUUGGGUUCAGAUAUUAAAGGAAUAAAAAUGAAAGAAUACAUACCUCGGCCUCGCUAUGAUGUUGCAGCAAAAAAUAAAUUGGAAAUACCUGAAUAUUAUGAAUUUAACAUUGCUCUUAUUCAGUUGGAGGAAUCUGUAAUUAUGGGAAUCGGUCUUUGGCCAAUCUGCAUCCCCUGCACCAAGGAAACAAGUGGAGCUCUGAGAUUUUCAGAUAGAGAGUUACAUGUCUGUCA